GUGGGGAAUCUUGCGCAAUGGGCGAAAGCCUGACGCAGCCAUGCCGCGUGAAUGAUGAAGGUCUUAGGAUUGUAAAAUUCUUUCACCGGGGACGAUAAUGACGGUACCCGGAGAAGAAGCCCCGGCUAACUUCGUGCCAGCAGCCGCGGUAAUACGAAGGGGGCUAGCGUUGCUCGGAAUUACUGGGCGUAAAGGGCGCGUAGGCGGAUCGUUAAGUCAGGGGUGAAAUCCCAGAGCUCAACUCUGGAACUGCCCUUGAUACUGGCGAUCUUGAGUGUGAGAGAGGUAUGUGGAACUCCGAGUGUAGAGGUGAAAUUCGUAGCUAUUCGGAAGAACACCAGUGGCGAAGGCGACAUACUGGCUCAUUACUGACGCUGAGGCGCGAAAGCGUGGGGAGCAAACAGGAUUAGAAACCCCGGUAGUCC
rnacentral:rRNA from 1 species